CCUAAAAAUCCUCCACCUUGUCCCAACCUGCCGCCAGCCUCUCCUUCCUUGGGAUCGCAUUCUAGCACCCCGAUCCAAAAAUCAUGUGUGUCUCCGUCCACCUUCCUUGAUCUCUGUCCCGCUCCAAUACCAAUUCCCAUUCGCAGCAGCAGUAAUGCGCCUUCACUCUACUCUCGCCUGAGCGAGAGGACGAGGCGCCCUAGUUCGCCCUCCCCUGCUACCCGGCUGCGAGCAGAACCUCCCAAGCUUCUCUCAUAUCCUCGCGCGAGUACACACCCAAGGAGAUCGAUCUUAUCCUCCUCCUUGCAGCAGCAGCAGCAUCCGCGGACACGUCCGUCGCCCGCAUGCGAAACCAGCAGCAGGUGUAGCCGUCGCCAAUGUUUGGAGCAGCGCCUCCCCGAGCUCGUCCUCCACCACAUGCCCGGAACCGACGCUGGUUGACCGGAUACGCCUCGCCCAUCUCUUCUCCUUCCUCCCCUUUCCCUCCUCUGCUCUCCCUCUCUCUCUGACCGACUUCUAUGAAUCUGGGGUAGGAGCCCAUGGCCACCAUGGAUGUCCAUCGCCAUUUCACCCAGCCGGCCGCCUUCUUGUUGCCACGCAAAACAGCAGCGCGACACCACGAUAAUCGUCGUACUUUCGUGACGACGAACGAUUGCUUUACGAGCAAAGCAAUAAAGAUUUCCUCACUUUCAUGGAGAAGAAUCGGCCUCUUUUCACCGCAAAACGACAAGGAUUUACCAAACCUUAGGGCUGCUGGGGCUUGGCAGAAAAGAACGAUAGGAAAAAACCGUACAUGAAAAGGUAAAGUGUUUGUAUUGAUAGAUCGAUUGUUGGGGGUUUUCUAAUCGUCCAUGGCCUUAUAUAUAAGGCACGAUGGACUUUGACGUAUACAGGAAGACUUUGCGUACAAUAAUAAAACUCCAAUACUAAACCGAUUAGGAUUUGUUCCCUUGAUUCGGUUACCAUGUAUAACCCUUGACCUUUUAAAAUAGCCAGCUAACCUGCAUCAUGGAAAUCCCUCUUGAACCAAUUCACGUAGGCACUCCUUGUCAUAUAUGAAUAAACUAUUUCGGCCACGUCGCAAUCAUACUUGGAAACCUUAGUGCACCUCCUUUACGUGAAAACUUUGAUACACCUCCUGCAUAUGUAUAGCUUGCCAUCCACGGAGUCUUCAACCUAAAAUCAAACCGAGCCAUGCUAGGACUUGUACUUUAAACCUGUAAAUUUUGUUGGCGCAACCGCCUCCGCCACGCGCACUUGCUCGCGCUCUGAUGAGAGGAAGAAGAGGCAGCGGACUCUGCUGGGUAACUCCCUUUGAACAGGGUGGGUAACUCUUUCAGGCGCUGGUGGGUAACUCUCUCAUGCAGGGUGGGUAACUCUUUCAAGAGCAGGCAGGUAUCUCUCUCAAGCGGGGUGGGUAACUCUUUCACGCGCACGUGGAUAGCUCUCUCAGAAGGCUAAAUUAUGCAUUCCACUUCAAAGCGCCGCCAAGUGCCGGAUCUGGACGGGGGCAAGUCGGUCCGCCUGUUCCCAUGACCUCCGCCGCAGCCCCAUCUCGCCUCUAGACACCGCAAGCCAUGUCGUUGCCGCCCCAUGGUCUCAUCUCGUCACCCAGUUUUCUAAAUUCGUGAACACAAGGCUUGGCCGUUGCUGUGCUCCAAAUAUAUCGGGUUUCCAAUCUUUGCACAAACAUCACUGCAUCACAGUAGUUAUAGCCCAUAGUUUAUGAUAUGUAGGUUCAGGUUCUGUUGUUUUUAAAAUUUAUCUAAACCAGCGCCCCUUACUUAAUACAAAUGCAGCGUGGAUGCAGUGGUUAGCACCACUUGUUGCAUUCAUGAAGUGGUUUGUUCGAUUCCCUGAUUUCCAGUUUUAACAAUGCGUUACUUUUUCAGUUUUUCACCCACACACAUACGGCUGCCUAGGCCUGCACCUUUCCUGGGCCGCUCCAGUGUACUACAGUCCGGACCGCGUAUAUUUUUUUUUCUUUCUCUGUGAUUUAGUAUUUCUCCAUCCAUGCAUAUUCCCAAAAAGGCCUUAAUUUCUGAUUUGCUAAUAACUUAAUAACUGUUUGUUGGAUUAAAAUGAUUUAAGUAUCUAAAAUGUAUAGAAUUUUAUUUAGUUCGACAAUAAGAAACUUCCAACCAAGUUUAAAAUGUUUAA